ensembl:lncRNA
CCCCCGGCGGCGCUCGCGCGGCGCUGGCCGCCUCUUAGCGCAUCUGCCCCGGCCAGGAGGGGGCAGCCGCCGCCGCCGCCCGAGGGCGCGCCCAAGGGGCCUGCAGCAAGCGCAGCCCGGGGGCGGGCGAGGGGGGCCCCUGGGCAGGCGUGGGUGGGCCAGUGGGCGUGCUUGCGCGCGCGGUCCCGGCGCCGGUGGGCAAGCGGCGAGAUGGGGCGGGGGGCGCAGAGCCAAGCAACAGGGCACGGACGGGAGAGGCUUACUUACAAACGGGGCCCUCUGAGCGGCUCAGCGCCGGGGCAGGGGCGCCCAUGGAACCCCCAGCCAGGAUCUUCGGCAGGGGGACGCGGAGAGGGGAGGGAGCGGGUCAGAAGGCGGCGGCGCGCCGUCCCUUUCCCCGCACUCGCUCUGCUCGCGCGCGCCGGAGUUUUUGACAAUCCACCACCUUAAUAUAAUCAGAUGCGGGGGUAGAAUCCCUUUCUGCAGCCUUCUUAACACGCAUCCCAUCCAUUGACCUCCACAAUUUGCCUACAAUCGACAAAUCCUCAUUAAGAUGGAAACAGAGAUACGCGCUUACAUUUCCUCUUCCGCCUUCUUUGCUCCUCAACAUAUGUUAAUUUCACCUCUUCCUUGCAAAUAGAAAAUGUCGUGAAGACGAUAGAGAGAGAGAUUAAGAGCAAAGAAGAUCGGCAGGCGUGUUUUGCCUGCAGAGGGACGUCAAAGGCACUUUAGAUGAACAAGUGGGUGAGCCAGCGAUGUAGAUGGUUUAAGAACUGCGGGUGACGCAGUUUGCUGGGGUUUGGGGGAUCGACCCUGACUGCUCAGUGGAAGGACAAAUACUGAAUCAGAAACUCAGAUUCUUUGGCCACAUAACGAGAACACAAAUUCACUAGAAAAGACCCUGAGGCCGGGAAAGAUUGAAGGCAAAAGGAAAGGAGAAAGAUGGUGUCAUGGAAGCAACGAACAUGAACUUGGGCAAAACUUCGGGAGGCCUGGAUCUGUGAUCCUUGGGGUCACGAAGAAUCGAUACGAUUGAAUGACUGAACAGCAACAGUAAUAUUUAGCUGCGGCCCGUGUGGGGGCUUUUAACUUGCUGGCUCUUGGGUUCUGCCACCCCAGCGCUGAGUUUUUGGAGCAAGAAAGCUCUCAGCGAAUUAUCUCUCGCAGGUCCCAAUAUCCAUUCUCUCCUAUAAACUUACUUGGCCCGUGCAGACAGGGAUGGAGAACCUAGUUUGCAAAAGGGGACCGGUAGGGACGUUUCCUUCCGGGCGCCAAAUUACUCGACGUAGCGCAGUCAGAAAGAAUUAUUCUGUGUAUGCUCUGUGGAACUCUUGUUCAAUGAUCGCAGGAAAACAGCUUUUGUGAAGGCGGACGGCACGUCAGGAGAUGUGAGAAGCUCCUCUUAAUCCCGGUGAAUAGAUUCACAGGACAGAACCCCGGCUAACUAGGGAAGCGGUUCUCUUUCUCAUGGCAACGCAGGCCGCGGGACCUGAACUUCUCUGAAAGCAGCCGCCAGACGCGCGCAAAGCUGCCGGGCAGUCCCAGGGGCUACGAUCGACCGCAGCGAAACUAGUCCCAGCCGGAGGGGAACGGGGUCCCCCGUCUCCGAUAUCACCAGCGAAAGCGACGCGAGGAAAGAGCCUUGCGAGGCCUCCGGCGCGCACACGCCUCCAGGAUGCUGGGUCAAGAUGGGAGGAGGCGGGAGCAGCGCGGAGCUUGUGCCUGGCGCGGGGCAGUGACCACUUGGGAAGCCAGCCGGGCGGCAGGCAGGCAGGCAGCCCUUGCUGGAAGUGCCCUUGGGAGGAAUAAUCGGGCGCCUGCGGAGGGCGAAGCGAUCUUUUCCAGAGUUUCGGGCGGAAAAGUUUAAGGACGGGGAGGGGGAGAAAGGGAGAGAUUGUGGGCGCGCGGUUUCAAUUCAGAGCACAGGCGCCGACCGCUCAUUCAUUUUUUGCGGCGGAAUCCUGACGCUGCCUCUAACGCCGUUUCUUCCUCCACCGAGGAAACGCCAGCACGUCGGUGAAAUAAUCGUAGAUCGCUUUAGACAGCUCGCCCUUUGUUUUUAAAAACUCAGUAAGCAGGAGACGGCUCUAUUAAAAAAAAAAAAACAGAAAGAAAAUGAUAUCUCCCGCAUUACAGAGAAAGAAAUUGUUCGCAGGAUGGUUUGUUUGUGUAUAUGUGUGUGUUUAUUUUAACACCACUGCCUUUUUUUCUCCCCUCCUGCAAAACUUCCGAGCCAGGUCUCUUUGCAUUUGUUCUCUUCCUGACUUGAGCUGCUCAGAUUCGUAAUGAAAUCUGAGUAUUUUUGAUCUCCGCUUGCCCCAUGCAAAAUUUCCUGAAAAUUCGUGUUAAUUNCAGACUUCUACGGAUCUAAUCAAUGAAGCUCCAGUGCGGACGCAGGGGACCCCCCCCCUUUUGAGGAUGGAAUGAGGAAGGGACAGGAAGGGGACUCAAAACAAGAAAUUUAUUUCUCACCUGAAUAAAUCUCACUUGCUAUUUUAUUUCCA